rnacentral:rRNA from 1 species
GUCCACGCCCUAAACGUUGAUUACUCGUUGUUGGCGAUAUACAGUCAGCGACCAAGCUAAAGCGUUAAGUAAUCCACCUGGGAAGUACGACCGCAAGGUUGAAACUCAAAGGAAUUGACGGGGCCCGCACAAGCGGAGGAGCAUGUGGUUUAAUUCGAUGAUACGCGAGGAACCUUACCUGGGCUUGAAAGUUAGUGUCGUUCUGUGAAAAGCAGAAAUUCUCUUCGGAGCACAAAACUAGGUGCUGCAUGGCUGUCGU